rnacentral:rRNA from 1 species
AUUGAACGCUGGCGGCAUGCUUUACACAUGCAAGUCGAACGGUAACAGGGUGCUUGCACCGCUGACGAGUGGCGAACGGGUGAGUAAUGCGUCGGAACGUGCCGAGUAGUGGGGGAUAACGCAGCGAAAGUUGUGCUAAUACCGCAUACGUACUGAGGUAGAAAGUGGGGGACCUUCGGGCCUCACGCUAUUCGAGCGGCCGACGUCUGAUUAGCUAGUUGGUGAGGUAAAGGCUCACCAAGGCGACGAUCUGUAGCGGGUCUGAGAGGAUGAUCCGCCACACUGGAACUGAGACACGGUCCAGACUCCUACGGGAGGCAGCAGUGGGGAAUUUUGGACAAUGGGCGCAAGCCUGAUCCAGCCAUGCCGCGUGAGUGAAGAAGGCCUUCGGGUUGUAAAGCUCUUUCGGCCGGGAAGAAAUCGGUGAGGCUAAUAUCCUCACUGGAUGACGGUACCGGAAUAAGAAGCACCGGCUAACUACGUGCCAGCCGCCGCGGUAA